rnacentral:rRNA from 1 species
AGGACGAACGCUGGCGGCGUGCUUAACACAUGCAAGUCGAGCGGAAAGGCCACUUCGGUGGUACUCGAGCGGCGAACGGGUGAGUAACACGUGAGUAAUCUGCCCCUGGCUUUGGGAUAGCCACCGGAAACGGUGAUUAAUACCGAAUAUGACAGACCCUCGCAUGGGGGUGUGUGGAAAGUUUUUCGGCCAGGGAUGUGCCCGCGGCCUAUCAGCUUGAUGGUGAGGUAAUGGCUCACCAUGGCUUCGACGGGUAGCCGGCCUGAGAGGGUGACCGGUCACACUGGGACUGAGACACGGCCCAGACUCCGUACGGGAGGCAGCAGGUAGGGGAAUAGUUGGACAAGUGGGCGGAAGCCUGAUACCAGCAACGCCGCGGUGGAGGAUGGACCGGUCCGUUCGGGUUACGUUAAACCGUCUUUCCACGUAACCGACGAAGCGCGAAGUGGAACGGUAGGUACGAAGAAGAACGACGACCGGACCAACUUACGUACGACCAG